UGGGGAAUUUUGGACAAUGGGGGAAACCCUGAUCCAGCCAUCCCGCGUGUGCGAUGAAGGCCUUCGGGUUGUAAAGCACUUUUGGCAGGAAAGAAACGUCAUGGGUUAAUACCCCGUGAAACUGACGGUACCUGCAGAAUAAGCACCGGCUAACUACGUGCCAGCAGCCGCGGUAAUACGUAGGGUGCAAGCGUUAAUCGGAAUUACUGGGCGUAAAGCGUGCGCAGGCGGUUCGGAAAGAAAGAUGUGAAAUCCCAGAGCUCAACUUUGGAACUGCAUUUGUGACUACCGGGCUAGAGUGUGUCAGAGGGAGGUUGAAUUCCGCGUGUAGCAGUGAAAUGCGUAGAUAUGCGGAGGAACACCGAUGGCGAAGACAGCCUCCUGGGAUAACAAUGACGCUCAUGCACGAAAGCGUGGGGAGCAAACAGG
rnacentral:rRNA from 1 species